rnacentral:rRNA from 1 species
AUGGACUGUAAGGAACUGGACGAGAACAUCUUCCUAUUUACCUUCAAUCAGGCUUCCGUGUGGAGGAGGGCGCUAGAAGGGUCGUGGUGGUUUGAUAAGGAACUUCUGGUGAUGGAAGAGUAUGAUCCGGAGAAGAUGCCGGAUGAGUAUGAUUUCAGCUUCAUUCCAAUCUGGGUGAGGGUUUAUGGUCUGCCGGUAGGAUCGAUGAAUAGGGAGGCAGGAGAAAAGAUAGGAGAAGACAUUGGUGAAGUGGUAGACAUGGAUGUUGGCCCUGAUGGCACGGCUGCCGGCAAAUUCCUCAGGAUAAAGGUCAGACUAGAUAUAAGCAAGCCGUUGAUGAGAGGUUUCCUGCUGGAUAGGGGUGAGAAGAGUGGUGCUAAGGACAUGAAUAUAGAUGAAGGUGGUGGCAGCAAGAAAAGGGAAAUGCUUUGGUGCAGGUUUGAAUACGAGUAUUUACCAGAUUUCUGCUACACUUGUGGCGUCAUCGGUCAUGGAGAAAAGGAGUGCGGGAUCAGGGUAAAGAAGGGGGAGGCAUCGCAACUUGGACCAUGGCUGAGG